rnacentral:lncRNA from 1 species
GGCGGAUCACACCAGUGACAUGAGAGUUGCUCUGGUAGCAGUGGAAAUGCUACUUGUAAAACCAUCCUUAGCUCCAGGAUCGUAGAGCUAUCACUGAGACAAUUGCGCAGUGAGUGACAAGAGAGAUAAGCGGAGAAUGUGAGCCAUCUAUGAGACAGAGGACAACUUCAAUAAAAAACACCAGGUCAGCGGAUAAGACCAUGUCACUCACAGGUUUGUGACUUGAGGCCUGAGCACCAAUGAUCCACUCCACAUCAGUGGAGAAUGUUGGAAAGUAAGGACGCUGUGGACAUUUUCUGAAGUUGGAGAAAUGGAAUGGUGGAGAAGCCAGUAUUGGGGUACCAUGAGUGGAGCAGAGUUGACUACAAAUCUCAAUAAAGCUUUUC